rnacentral:lncRNA from 10 species
AGAACUUCCGGCAGCAACUGCAAUUAGGGGUAGUCCAGUGCUAAAUUGUCGCAGCCUUGAAAAUAUUCUGCUUCGUUAUUUCGGGCACUCCACAGAUUCUGUUGCGAAGGCAGCCAUCUUUAGUUCGUCUUUCCUAGAGAGCGUUGAGAAGAUUCUGCUCCAUUUUUUCUGAUUAUGGAUUCUGUUCAGAAGGAAGCCGAAUUUUAAGUCAUCGUUCUAGGAUAGGUUGGGGACGUUCUCCUGGAUAAUAUACUGAAGAGUGUUUUCCAACUUGGCUCCAUUCUCCCCGUCACUUUCAGAUACACCAAUCAAAGAUUCAGCUCCAUUUUCUCUGGUGGUAGAUCUCCAUGGAUGCUAUUGAGAAGGUACUUCUCAAAGUCCACGAGGACAAGGACAUCUUUCCACCGAAUGCCACCUGGUUUAUAACAAAAGCAUGAAAAACAAACAGGAAUUUCUCAAUGCAGAAAGGACUGAAGCUGUCAAAGGUGUGCUUUUUUUCUGCACAAACAAGUUUCCAUUGAAUGAUAGAAUAAAGAGAUACUGACUUCCCCGGAGCCUCCAAACUUGAGUAGUCAGGUAAGGAUCCUUGAGUAACAAGACAGCAAAGUAAGUAUUAUCCCUCCUGGGAUUUUGGUUGGUUACAACAUUGUGUUGAGUAUUUGCAUUCCAUUUUUCCCUUGGGGAAUUACACUUUCUGAGACCUCAAUUUAGGAGGCUUAAGUGAAGAUAAUCCAUCCCCAGUUACACUUGGCCUGCAUAAACCAAGCAGAUCAAAAAGAGUGCUAUGUUCAUUACUCAAUGAAUUGGUCGAUAUUGGCUUCCUUGAUAUAUAAAACUCCAUUAGUCAAAAAUAUCUUCUAAAUCUAAUGCCUUGCUUUACUCCAAAAGGCUGAUUCUUUGCUACGGCCCUAAUCUGUGGAAAUUGCAAUGUUAUUUUUCUGGACUAUUAUGGCAUAUUUAAGCCAAGAACAUGGGGUCAAGGAUACCUCUGCAGAUGUUGUUCUGGAUUUCAGGCAACGGUCUGGAAAUUUUAAGUAACUCUCGUGUUAUUUGAAUUAGGUAAAGCGUGUUCACAUUUGGACAGCAUUUAUUCUUUGGUGUACCAGGGAUCCCCAAGACCACUCUCAGGAUAGAUGAUUUGUUAGAAGAAUUCACAGAACCCAGAAAAGCUAUUAUAAGUUGGACAUGAUGGCUUGCACCUAUAGGCCUAGCUACUUGGGAAGCUGAGAUGAGAGGAUUCCUGGAGCCAAGGAGUUUGAGGCUGCAGUGAACUAUGAUCAGGCCACUGCACUCCAGCCUGAGUGACAGAGCAAGACCCCAUGUGCAAAAAUAAAAAUAAAUAACAAAGAAUAAACAAAAGCUAUUAUACUCAUAAUUACAGUUUUUUACAGCAAAAGGGUAUACAUUAAAAUCAGCAAAGGGAAAAGGCACAUAGGGAGAGAGUCCAAAAGAAACCAGACUGAAGCUUCCAGCUAUCCUCUCCCUGCGGAGUUAUAUGAACAGUGUUUAAUUCUUCCAGCACGUGAUGUGUGACACAGUACAUGCAAAGUGUUACCAGCCUUGGUCAUAGAGCCAUGGAGGGUCUGGAUCAUUGACCUUUGCUACUCAGUUCCAGCCCCCACAGAGGUCAAAAUGAUACAACAUGUCCUAAAGUGCCAAGCAUACAAAAGCAGAUAUUUAGCAUGAAGCACAUAUUUAGCAUAAACUAUCUGGUGUGCCCCAGAUAGUUUCUACUAAAAAUACAAAAAAUUAGCCAGGUGUGGUGGCGCGCACCUGUAAUCCCAGCUACUCGGGAAGUUGAAGCAGGAGAAUCGCUUGAACCCAGGAGGUGGAGGUUGCAGUGAGCUGAGAUUGUGCCACUGCACUCCAGCCUGGGCGACAAGAGCGAGACUCCAUCUCAAAAAAAAAAAAAGUCUCAUCCCAAAUUUUAUUAAAAUUAUUUUACUUGCAAUUGACAAUUAUUUCCAUGCCAUGGAUAAAAUGUCUGACUUGCAUAAAUAGGUCCUCUCCUUUUUGGGAAAGUACUUGUACUUGGAGUGACAUAUUACCCGUGUUAUAUCUGUGGGAGGUCUUUUCUUGAGAUUUCUGGAAAGACAAGGACCUUUCCCACUGCAUUUAGUAUAGUUGGGCAAGCUGGGUCUAGGGCAAUAUUUCUCAAAUGUAAUGCAAACUAGAUUUGCUAGGGAGCUUGAAAACAGCUAUUGUCCUGAUAUCACCUCACCUCAAUUUAUCCAUAAUCCAUGACUGAAAAACUUUGUUUUGGCUGGGUGCGGUGGCUCAUGCCUGCAAUCCCAGAACUUUGGGAGGCCAAGGCAGGCGGAUCACCUGAGGUCGGGAGUUUGAGACCAGCCUGACCAAUAUGGAGAAACCCCAUCUCUACUAGAAAUAUAAAAUUAGCUGGGCGUGUUGGUGCAUGCCUGUAAUCCCAGCUACUUGGGAGGCUGAGGCAGGAGAACCUGGGAGGCAGAGGUUGUAGUGAGCCGAGAUCGUGCCAUUGCAUUCCAACCUGGGCAACAAGAGCAAAACUCCAUCUCAAAAAAAAAAAAAAGGAAAGAAGAGAAAGAAAAACUUUGUUUCAAUUGUUUUUUUGUUUGUUUGUUUUGAGACAGAGUCUUGCUCUGUCGCCCAGGCUGGAGUGCAAUGGUGCGAUCUUGGCUCACUGCAGCCUCCGCCCCCUGGGCUCAAGCCAUUCUCCUGCCUCAGCCUCCUGAGUAGUUGGGACUAUAGGUGCCCACUACCAUGCCUGGCUAAUUUUGUAUUUUUAGUAAAGAUGGGGUUUCACCAUGUUGGCCAGGCUGGUCUCAAACUCCCGACCUCAGAUGAUCCGACCGCCUCCACCACCCAAAGUGCUGGGAUUACAGGCGUAAGCCACUGUGCUGACCUCAAUUGUUUUUCAAUUAUCUGAUGGAGAAGUCAUUUUAAAGGAUGUAAUGAGUAGCAGUGGUUCAUUACCAUUUUCACAUUUUGACAGAGUGUGGGUUCCAUGGAAGACUCAAUAAAUUUAGAUUGGUGUCCCUACCUCAAAUUCAGUUUGCUAUUGUGUUGGUGAGGAUAGGUUGUGUUGAGAAACUGCGUCUCUAACAAGUGCACAGGUGGUGCUGCUCAAGGACCGCCCUCAGGGAACCAGUGCUCCACUGUGAGGAAAGGUAUGAGUAUGCUGGCUAGAAGUCUGCUCUGCUGUGACUAGUGAGAAUCAUGAAAAGACUUAAUUUGGUUUUUGUUCCCUUUUUAAGGAUGGAAUUCUCAGGUAGUAGAGCCUUUGUAGGUCCCAUGGGUGACUGGCCACCUGGGAAGUUUCAUUUCUGUGCAGAUCCCAGGCUGUAUCACUGAUGCUGGAUAAGGAUAACAUUUUGUGAACCACUGCUCUAGCCUGCCCUCUGUCCUUUGAACACUUUCAACUAAAGGUGAUCUUUGCUUACUGUAACUAACAGUGAGAACUAAAUAGAUAGUUUUACUAACUCGUUAUAUUUUUCAACUCUUUUCAGCUUCAUUGCAUAAGUUAUUAAAAUAUGUAUCAUCUACCAUAAAAGAAAAUACUCAGAAUAGAAUAACUUUCCAGAGGCAUCAAGACCAAUAGGAAACAGAGCUCAGUAUUAGAACCCAAAAGAGGCAGAUUCCAAGCUUCUACUCUUCAGCAGGAUGAAUUGGAGAUUUCAGGCCAGGUGGAGGUGCCAGCCACGUGUUCUUCUCGCAAGUGAACAUUUUCUGGAAUGUGAAUCAGAUCACACAGCAGUAUGCAGCCACCACUGCUUUGCAGUUGUUCCAGACCUAUUUCCUCACCUGUUGAGAUGGAUGUGACCUGUACCCAUAAUGUCUAUAAUUAGAAGUUUUUCAGUGAGCAUUCUGUGGGUUAGACCUAUCCUUGAAAACAUGGGCUGGACUGGAUGUUGCAAGUAACAUUUUCUGUCAAAUGGAGUUUGGCCACAGACUCCAAAGGCCUAAACAACAAAUGCCAAAACCCCAUAUUCUAAAUUCAGGUGCUGGAUGAUCUGGAGAGGGAUUGGACCCAAAUUGGUUCUGCAGGCAUCGGCACAUUGUUUAAGUGAGUGAUAUAAAAGAGCUGAGGUGGUAAAAGGAGGAAAGACUCUUUUGAGACAGUUGCCAUCCUGGCAUAUAUUUUCUCCAAACUCAUGGGAGAUGUAGAAAAUGGCUGUCCCUAUGUCUCUAGUCAAAUGAAAGGGGCAUGGAACUUUUGCUCCACUCUGAUAUAGUUUGUAUAUUUGUCCCUGCCCAAAUCUCAUGUUGAAAUGUAAUCCCUGAUGCUGGAGGUGGGGCCUGGUGAGAGGUUUGGAUCAUGGGGGCGGAUCCCUCAUGGCUCAGUGCUGUUUUCAUGAUGGUGAGUUCUCCCAAGAUCUGGUCAUUUAAAAAUGUGUGGCAGCUCUCCCCCUACUCUCUCACUUCCUCCUGCUCUUGGUAUGUGACAUGCCUGCUCCCACUUCUCCUUCUGUCAUGAUUUUAAGUUCCCGAGGCCUCCCCAGAAGCCAAGCAGAUGCCAGCAUCAUGCUUCCUGUAAAACCUGCAGAACCACGAGACAAUCAAACCUCUUUUCUUUAUAAAUUACUCAGUCUCAGGUAUUUCUUUAUAGCAAUGCAAGAAUGGCCUAAUACAAUUCAAAGCCAGCUUCAGGUUCCAUAAUCCCUUAUAAGAUCUCAGUAGACCCCACAGAGGCCUUUGUACUGAUCCUUACAGUACAUUACAGUACAAGAACAUAGAUGAAAAUCAGCCAGGGUAAAAGGAGCAUAGAGAGGAGUCCAGGAGGAAACAGGCUCAAGCUCUCCAUCAUCCUCUUCUGGUAGAGUCAUAUGCACUGCACUUAAUUCUCUCAGCCAGGUGUGUGUCCACAUUAGCAAAGUGUUGCCAACCAGGUAAGCUCUUCCAAGCCUUGCUGAUAUAGGGAUGGAGCUUUCACAUUCCUGAUAUUAGCUUCUGACUCUCUAAUCUAUCUAAAAAGUGAAACUGACAUAGCCUGGACACAGCCCCAGUCAUACAAAAAUGCAUUUUUACCGUAAAUCUCAUUGUUACCAUGAAUCAUCUAGUGAGACCAAAUCCACAGGUACACAAAGCGUUCUUAUCAGACAGAAAUAUCAGACCUCACAGGUUACCCAGUAGGAGCUGGUCUAGGGCAAGUUCUCAAACUUUGAAAGGUGCAGGCUGUUAGCAACCCUAACCUCUUGUGUUAGAAGUUUUUAUAGCACAGCUUAAAAAUAGAAAAGUAUUAAAAUAAUUACCUUUGAUUGCUUUCUAAUAUAGCCUUGCAUUAAUUCUUAAUUUGUCUUCUUAUAUUGAAUAGAACUUCAGAGAAAACUUUUAAACUGGGGGCGGGGAUGAUAAUUUUAUCAUUCAUAAGUUAAGGGAGAAAUUAAGUUCUCUGCAUGUACAAAAAAUUGUACAUGAGAGUAAACACUAUAAGAAUUCAUAUGAAUUAAAAAAUAUUGAAAGAGGCAUACAUAAAAAAUUAAAAACUGUGAUGAGUCCUAAUGUAAACCUUUGAUUCGGAAAAAAGGUACUUGUCCCCAAAAAUAAAUUUAAGAUUUUUCUCAGAAAUGAUGAAUACAAUCUUGAUAUUUUCUGAAAGUGUAAUAUAAACUACCAAAAAACAGACAAAAGAGAAAAUACUAACAAAAGUCAUAGCAAUAGUAAUUCUUCCCAAAUAUUUAACCAACUGAAUGUAUUUUGAUACUCCUCACACUGUCCGAUUUCCAAAUUUCUUUUUUUCACUUUUAGGACAUUCUCACUCCAAAUUUUAUUCCAGGUGUACUUAUUGGAGCUGACCAGCCUUCACAUGCUGGGUUUGAGAAUGCCUGGACUCUGCCCGUCAAUUCUCUCCUUCUGGGGAAUAUGUUUGAAGGUCAGGUGACAUAUAACCUUUGCUGAGUCAGUGGGAGGUGUUUUCCUGAGAUUUCCAUUAAAUUAUGGGCCUUUUCCUACUGAAUUUGAUAACCUUGGAUAAAAUGAGCCUAGAUCAGCAUUUCUCAAAUAUAUUGCAUAUUAUAUAAUUCAUAAAGGAGGUUGAAAAUGCCUUUUGUCUAGGUGAUACCUCAAGUCAAAUUAUUUUGAGUCAGACAGGCACUGUGGUUCACACCUGUAAUGUCAGCACUUUGACAGGCCAAGGCAGGAAGAACAUCUGAGCUCAGGAGUUUAAGACCAGCCUGGGCAACAUAGUGAGACCCCGUCUCUGCUAAAAAAGAAAAAAAAAGAAAAGAAGAAAAGCCAGGUGGCAUGCACCUGUAGUCCCAGCUACUCAAGAGCCUGAGGUGGGAGGUCGAGGCUGCGAUGAGACCUGUCAUGCCACUGCACUCCAGCCUGGGCAACAGAGCAAGACUCUCUCUCUCUCUCUCUCUCAAAAAAAAUCUGUAUCUCUGACAGUAGAAUUUUAUUUCAAUUGUUUUUAAACCAUCUACUGAGGAUUCCAUUUUGGGGGAUGUAUUGGAAACCAAUGUUUAAAGUAUGAAUAUUCUGACACUUUAGCAGGCAUUGGGAUCCGUGGAAGGCUUGUUAAAUCCAAAUAGAUUGGUCCUACUCCAUCCGCAGAGUUGCUGACGAGGUGCGUCCAGGUAAGUUGAGCUGAGAUUUUACAUCCUUAACAAGUAUAUACAGGUGAUGCUUGUCGGGGAUCACCUUCAGGGUACUGGGGCUGUACUCUGAGGAAAGAUCUGAAUAUGCCAGUGAGGAGGCUGCUAUCAGUGUAAAAAGAGAGACCCAUGAAAAGUAUUAGUUAAGUUUUGUUUUUCUAAGGAUACAUUUCUAAGGCAACUGAGACCUUACAGGUUACUAUGGGUAUGUGGGGACGUAGUAAGUUACAUUUCUUGAUAAUGCACUGUUACUGCUUGGGGAUGGCAUUUUGAGAAAUACUGAUGUAGCUCACUCCCUGGACUGAGUCUGACCCUUGAAUACUUUAGACUAUGUCUCACUUUUCACAAAUAUAACCAUCAAAGAGAACUAGCUAUGUCGAGUUCCAGGAUUUAUACUAAGGCUGUAUAUUUUUAUCUCACUUCAGCUUCACUUCCAGGAAAGUUAUUGAAAUAUGCCUUAUAUACGAAAAAAGGGAAAAGGUGAGCAGAAUAACAUUCUGGAGGCUUCAGGGCCAAUAGGAGAGAUAGCUCAUAUUGGAACCUGGAAGAUCUGGACUUCAAACUUCUACUAUUAAGCAAGAUAGGUUGCAGGUUUCAAGCCAGAUGGAAGUACCAGCCCUGUGUCCUUCUGGGCAGGGAGACUUCUUUUGGAGGAUGAAUUGGAGCCUACAGCAGUAUGCAGCCACUACUUCUUUCUGGUUGUUUCAGGCCUUCUCCUCACCUCUCAGGGAGAUAUACCAUGCAGUGCCUUCAGUUAUGGUGUUGUGACUGAGGAUGCUUCGGUCAGACAUGUCCCUGAAAACCUGCAUAGAGGUAAAUGUUAAAAGCAGCAUGUUCUCUCACAGAGUUUGGCCAGUGACUGCAAAGGCCAAAUCCAUAAAUGCCAAGAACCCCCAUAUUCUAAAAUGAGGUGCUGGAUGAUCUUGCAAAGGCACUGCAGCCAAAUUGGUUCUGCAAUAAUUGGCGUAUCACUCAAGUGAGCCACAUAAAAUAAUUAGGUGGUAAAAGGAGGAAAGGACUCUUGAGAGAGUUGCCAUCGUGGCAGGCAUUCUUUAAACUCAGAGGAGAGGUAGAAAGAUGCCUUUUUUUGCUUCAGGCCAAGUGAAAGUGGCUUAGAAACUGCUUUCAUGAAGUCCAGCUCUAUUGAUAUUGAUUGAUAUUGGAUUUCUUGAUGUAUAAAGCUCUAUCUUUCUAAAAUUAGGAAUCUACACAGUCUUACUGUAGUUGAAAUACCUCUUCUAAACCUGCUGCCUUGCUUUGUUCUUGAAGGUGGAUUCCUUGCUACUGCCUUGCUGUGUGGAAACAAAAAGUUUGUUCCCUGAGACUAGGAUGACAGGUUGUAGAAGGAGCAUGCCCUUAAGGAUAUCACAACAGAUUUUUUUCAGAAUGGAAAGGGACUCUGUUGGAGCUGCAGUGAGACUCCUUCACACACACUCAGAAUUCCCAUAUUAUUAGAGUUAGGUAGAGUAGCAUGUCUACAUAGCACACCUUUAUUCACAGGCUUGUUGGAGUACUUCAAGGCCAGCUUCAGGCUGGAUGAUUUCUUAGAAGGUUUCAACUGGACUUGAAAAGACCUUUCUAUUGAUAGUUAUAGGGUAUUAUAGUACAAGAACACAGGUGAAAAUUAUCCAGUGGAAAAGGAGCAUAGGGAGGAAUCCCAGAGAAACCAGGCUCAAGCUUCCAGCCAUUCUCUUUCUGUGGACUCACAUGUGCCGUGCUUAAUUCUCCCAGCUAGUUGUGUGACUACAUGUGCCAAGUGUUGCCAACUAGGUAAGCUUGCCCAAUCCCUGGUCAUGUAAUCAUGGAAUGUUUGCAUGAGUGGCUAUAACUCCUGACUCUCCAGGCCAUGUAGAAGUCAAACUGACAUUGCCUGGACACAGCGCCAUUCAAAACUGACAUUCACCAUAAAUCAUAUGGUCAGCCUGGAUCAUUUGGUGUGACCAUAUUCUCAGGUUUACAAAGACAUCCUGAUCAGACAGAAUAUCAAAGGGUUCAGAGGUUGCCUGCCAGGAGCAGAUCAAGGGCCAUUCUCCAAACCUGGGAGGGUGCAGCUUUUCAGCAUCCCUGGCCUUAUAAUUGGAAGUAUUUAAAAAACAGUUCAUAAAUUCUUAUUUUUAUGUGUAUCCUCAUUUAUUCUUUAUAUUUCCUUAAAUGUUUUUGUUAUAAAUAAAAAUAUAUUUUCAAUAUAUAUUUUCUAGUUUGGCCACUUUUUCAGCUAUUUGUGUUUAUUUUUAAAAGUUCCAGUUGCCUGGCUUUGCUUUUAAACACAUAUAUUCAGAAUUAAUUGCAUAUACAAAAUAGUUAUCUUUGAAUAUUUUCUAAUAUUUCCAUGCAUUAUUUCUUAACUUGUGUA